rnacentral:ncRNA from 2 species
AACGACUCUCGGCAACGGAUAUCUCGGCUCUCG